GGAGUCGAUUCCUCUUGGCCAAACAUGAGAAAAUAUGUUCUUUGAAGUGCUUUGGCUUGGCAACUUGAGAAGAUUUUUUUCAUAGAUUAUUUCUUCAAUUUGAUCAUCUGAAAAGACCUACAUAUAUUCUUGAAACACAUGAUUAGUAUCAUUUAUACUCAAUAUUUUGAAAUCAUUAAAAUCAAUCUUAGGGUCAACACAUAUAUAAGGGAUUAGAUCUUAGACU
rnacentral:lncRNA from 1 species